AUCCUCGCCGACUAUAGAACGAUUUGCAGCACAAGCACACAAUUGUUAAGCUCCGGGAAUUAUAGCUGCAAGGGCGUUCAAGAGAAUGGACAAUAUACGCCGACUUCACUCUUUUUCGAGCACUUGCUGCCUGUCUUUCAAAAACUAAUAACCCUCGUCGCCCGGUGCACCAUUACGACGACUAAGGAUCUACAACAUCGUCUCUCUUCUCGUCUUCGUAUAGAUUCAUUGGUGGACAACUAUGGAGAAGAAAUUCGCCGCUCGCUCGUCCUGGCACUGAUAGCCAUCGGUCUUCUGGCAAGCCUUACACCGGAGAACGGAGGAUGUGACGAUCUCCUGGCCGCUCCCUCACCUUCAUCGUGGGUGGAAGUGCUGCUUAGCUCCAACCCGGACCUGCAACUCCGAGCCGUGGAGCGAGCCGAAGAGGUCGCCGUCACGCAUUGCCUGGUGGUCAUCUGGCCUUCCUGACGGGCCCAUGAAUUUGCUUCCCACUCAGCAACUAUGGAGAAGAAAUUCGCCGCUCGCUCGUCCUGGCACUGAUAGCCAUCGGUCUUCUGGCAAGCCUUACACCGGAGAACGGAGUGUGUAGCUUCAAAAUGUGAAGACUACUGCAAGAUGGAAGUUCCAAAAGCGGACCCCAAAAAGGCGACCUGUAAAAAUAAUCUUUGCUACUGCGCCAAGCCACGUGUUGGGUGCACGCCAGAGGCAUGCCACAAGUCCUGUCAAGAUGCCGAACCCGACAAGAAAGUGCUCAACACAUCGUGUCCCGACUCCGACAUAAUGUCACUGCAUAUACGAAGACGAGUGCACAGAAGAUAUAUGCCCUUGACUAUUGUAAGGAAACAGUCCCAAGCAAUAUCCUGAAAGGUUCUAUGUGCAUACACAACUUCUGUUACUGCAAUAAAACAACAGAUGACGUUUCUCACAGUGGAUUUCACUUCUUUGACGCAUGGAAUUCGUUCAUACGUAGCCUGUGGUAAUCAUGUCCCUUUGUGUAGUUUUGAUGGUUAUAGCCACGAAAUAAAGCUUUUACUGAGACCUGA